CGAAGUAUAGCAUUUGACAUGCUUCCCGCUUACACCGGGACUAUAGCCCUAUUAAGACUUACUUCGA
rnacentral:tRNA from 1 species